UCUUAAGAAUUCUUUUGAAGUCUAAAGUAGUAAAAUAGAAACUUAAAAAUUUUGGCAGUAUUCAAUUUUUUAGAGAAAUAUGUAAUUUAAUCGAAAAUACACGAAAAUCUUACUUGUUUUAUUUUUGUAUAUCUCCGUUGACAGAUUUUUAUAAAAAAUAAAAUAAUUUUCUAUAAAUAAAAUAUAUGACAUCAGGUCAAGGUGCAGAAUAAAUAAGUUAUUAUGUAUUGCAUUCAAAUUUAAUUGAGAUGAAUAAAUAAUUGGAAAUAUUAUUUUGAAAAUGAAUUUAUAAGUAAAAUAAAAGAAUAAUUUUAUUUGAAAUAUUAUUGAAUAUGU
rnacentral:rRNA from 1 species